GCGGGAGUGGCGGAAUUGGUAGACGCACUGGAUUUAGGUUCCAGCGCCGCAAGGUGUGAGAGUUCGAGUCUCUCCUUCCGCACCA
rnacentral:tRNA from 1 species